GCCAGCGUGGUGUAGUGGUUUGAGCAUUGGACUACAACUCUGGAUACCAGGGUUCAAAUCCCUGCUUGGCC
rnacentral:tRNA from 1 species